rfam:Sphaerochaeta globosa str. Buddy, complete genome.
CCCGGUGGCCACAGCAGGGUGGACACACCCGUUCCCAUCCCGAACACGGAAGUUAAGCACCCUCACGCCGAUGGUACUACGGUUAGCCGUGGGAGAGUAGGUAGCCGCCGGGC